CCGCGGCGUGCGGGGUCCCUCCCGCCCCCGCAGGGCGCCCAAGCCGCUGCCCGUCCCGCUGCGCUCCGCCCCCGCCUUCGGCUUCUACACGCCGCCGCCCCCGCCGCCCCCAGCCGACUGAGGAAUGGCAUCUUGUCUGGAUCAGUUCAACAUCUAAAGCAUCCUGUUUACGUUUGAAUUCCACCAUGAACUUAGCAAGAAGAUAGAAGGCGUGAACAACAUACUUGUGUUGUAUGUGAGCUCUGAAUCCAACAAAUGCCGGUCCUCCCUUAACUUUCACUGUAAAUACUCCAGUAUUUUUAUAUAUUCGAUAUUAUCUGUACAUAAGAUGUUUCACAAUAUUGUUUAAAGUGUUUGUGAUUUUAACUUCAAGAAAUGUGAAGCACUGAGUUGACUUUAUUUUCUUGUAGAUUGUAAACUCUCAAACGAUCAAGGCAAACAUUGUCCGUUUCUCAAGCUAUCAAGUCAAACUUGGCCUGUUUAACAGGGAGUGCAGUGGCGAUUCGUGAUUCGUGAAGGAUGAUGGUGUUUUAAUCUCGGGCACUCUUUUUAACCAUUAUUUUCAAGUCAUAAAAACCAUUUUACUCCAAACUGAAAAAGACAGGAAUCUAGAUGACGAAUAGUUUAUGAUUAUCUGUGUUUUGAAUUCAUUGCUAAUACAGAUUUCAUCGCUAAAACACACGUGAUGAGAAAUUACAAAUAAAUAGUUCAUAGUAAAAUAUUAAAAUGUAACUGUGUGAAUCUAAUAGGUUUAGUAAUUUUUAUUUCAGCGGUAAUUAAUAUCUCCUGUCAAUUUUUUCCGUAAUUAAACUAAUACAGUUACAAACAAGUUAUUAAAAUGUGAUAGAAAAUCAUUUAUGAUGCAAUCUGUACUCAUUAGCUCCAGCUAAAAUGCAGCGUAGGUACACGGAACAAUUUGACUUUUAGUGGCACAAAAUAUUCCACAAAUACCAGGAAACACCCAGAGAACCUUACAACUUAAGAUGAAUUGUACAGUUCGGGCCAAACGUCUUACGAACUGGGCUCCAUACUUGGAUGUAUACUUGCUCGGAACGGACCGGCAAUGCCAAAUAGUAGGGGGGAGUCCUACAGAACCAAACAGUGCCAAUUCAGCGUGGCCCGGUUACACUUCAACUAUUCUAAAAACAUAAUUAUUUCCUUUUUUCUAAGUUUACCUCACAGUUCCAUCGCUCGUUAACACUUCACGGUCAACAUAUUUUGAACGGGUUUAGCACUCUAAGUAAAUUUCCACGCCCAAGAAGAUUUGUCAUCCUCCUUGGAUCCACCACACUGAUAGUUUUAAGUUACACAUUACACGAUUAAUGGUGAUUGUUAACUGAGAGUAUUUUUUUUCUCUCUUCAGGCACACAAAUUCAUUACAGCGUGCAUUCAUCAUUUCAGCUCCGAACUGUGCGUGGUUCUAUGUUGCUUAAUUUAAUUAAGUCCUACGCCACCAAUGUGAAACUACUAACAUGUCAAACAUGGUAGUUACAUGUACUGUUUAUUUGUGCUGUCUCCCUCAGAUGAAGUCUGGCUUAAGUAAUAUCUUCACUGCGUUAAAUUUUAGAGAGUGUUUUGCCAAAAUUAUUAAAACGAAGAAAAAAUUUGUGAUUUUCAAGCGAAACAAGUGCACCGUAUUAAGGCAUAGCGAACCGCCACUGCCAGUACUUAGCUGUAGUUACUGUAUCAAUUAAUUGUGCACUUACAAACUAUGAUCAAUGUUACCAUUAUUGCAAAACUGCAGUGUUACAUUCUUCUUUUUGUCAAUAAUAAAAUUACUACUCUUAGUGCUUAUUGUGAUUUUGUAAAAAUUUACUUAAUUGCAUAAAAUAUCUAUAUUCCAACAUUAUAAAUCUUUUCACAGCACCAAGUCUAAUGAGCAUAGCUGAUACACUGGUGGCAAAUCUUUGAAGUAGUUUUAAAAUUUUGUUUUGAUUACAGACAUUUUAUGUAAAUGUUCAAACUAUUCUUGGUCAAAUCUAAUUGUGCGGUAGAAACCUAUAUAUAUUUUUCUUUCUUUCUAGAAUUGGAAGACGAAAAACUUGUCUCAUACAAAUUUAAUGUGUAAUUUUCCUUUUGUUUUGUGAACAAAUUUAUUUUGUAGUCUGCUGUUUCAGUAAAUGUGGACAGCAAAUAAUUUAGUACCGGCAUGAUAUUCUGUUAUUUUUGUUCUUAACUUUUUUAAAUGUUUUUAGUGACGAUUCUCCCUUUUUUUAUCAGUUAAUUCACUCCUUAAUAAUAAGAAAAUUCUCAUGAGACUCUAGCUUCUUGUCUUUUAUUUUCUUACUUUGACUCAGUUUUCGUGUUGUAUCAGCUAAUCCUUUGUCCUCUUUGCACCAGUAACCUGUGUGUAAGGUGUUUUUAUCAUCAGUGGGUUGGCAGACUUCGUAAAGCUAUGUUCACAAAUCCUAAAACCAUAUUCUUACCAAAUAUGUUAUGGUGGUAUUAAUUUUUGAGAUUGCCAGCCUGUUUUUCGCAGUAUCAAGAAAUGCUGUAAAUACUGAUAUAGUGAUCAUUAUUGGGACAGUUAGUACCAGCUUUUUGUGGCAUUUUUUGCUGAUCUUGAAAGUACAAAAUCAUUGCUCGAAAUUAUCAAUCAUCUCACAAAAUAAAAUUAAUAAUGGAAUCUACACUAGUGUGAACUGUGAUUUUGUGGACAUUACAGUGUAUGCAUAAUGAACCAAUAAUGGAUAUUUAAUAACAUGGUGUUAAUAAAGUUAAUUUCUCUGUUUAAGUGUACCCACAACUUAUUGUUUGACCAUAGGAAAGUUUUUUUACUCUUAAAUGUGGUUAUUUGUAACUUGCAUAUUUAUAAACUAUUAUUUAUCUGUUAAGCGUUUAAUGUACUAAUGGUUAAGUUAAGUGCCUAUAUCUAACAAAUAUUUAACAAAAAUUUAAUAAUUUAAGAUAUUUUCUUGUACCAUAGAUUUUGGUUAUGAAAAGACAGGUAACUUUUGAUGAUAAGAGGUAGUACAUAAGCUGAUCAGUAAUUUGCAGAUAUAAAUCAUGUUUCACAAUUGAUGGGCAUAUCUAGUUUGAAAACAAAUGUGCCAGAAUUAAUUGGGUACAUCCCAUAGGUUUGUAGGAAAAUAACUUGAAAUCCAGGUUCUAGGAAAAUUCUUUGUAUGAAUGGUCUGGAAGUCAUUCCUGUGGUUCCAGGUAUUCUUAUAAUGGUUAUUUAUUAUCACUUAGCCUGUGUUUUCUUCCUGUAGUUUAAUAUAAGUUGCUCGAAGACAACAAUAUAUGUUAUAUAUACCAGAGUGUUUGUUAUAAUGAGUGAUGGUGCUUUUGCUUACAAUGGCUUCAUAGGAAACAUAUGCGGUGUGUGAUGUACAAUGUGUAAUUGGUGGCAGAGGGGUGUAUCUAGUUUUCCUCUUGCCCUUCCAACAGCAACAAACUUACCAGGCAUAAUUUGUUUUGUACGCAUGUGCAUUAUAUGUUAAAUUAAUAUAGAAAUUUGCUGAGUUUCUUUUACCCUUGCUCAAACUCUCUCUUCUUUUUUUAUACUCCUGGUCUAUUUUUUUGUCAUAUUGGCGAUAAUAAAACCAAUCUAAAAAAUUUAUGAAAUUCUGAGUAGUAAUCUCAGAAACGCGCACGUGGCAUAUGUUUCUGUGGCUUUGAUGUCAGAACUAGGGCACUAUACUGUCCAACCUGAGCCUGCAUCUCUUCUUCCCCUCAUGAAGGUUGCUCCUCCCAGUCAUUCAUUUAUCAUCCACAGCCUCUACUGCAGACUGAGUAAGAAACAGCUCCAAUGGACAAACAUGAUCAUUGAUAAUGAGCGUAUUGUAACUACUCCCUUACCUUGCUUCAAGUCAACAAAGGGGAUAAUCUAAGAGAUGAAAGAGAAUGGUGAAAACAAAAUAAACUAGAGAAAUAAGUGAAGUUAGUUCUGAGCUUCUUACAUAGAUCUGUAAGCAAAUUGCACCAACCACCAAUGAAAAGAUCUAACAGAUUGGUGCAUUUCCAAAAUAUUUUAUUUCCAACAACAUUACUCAACAGCUUAUUAAAUGCUUAGAGCACACUAUUAUUGUUUUCAGUAACUGCAAAAAAAUACUAUUUGUUUGUGUGUUCUAAUAAGCGUGUUGGUUUUUAAAAUGUCGCAUAUUUGAAUUAUUAAAAAGGUAACUUCACAGCAACUAUUUUACACAUCAAUAAGUUGCAGCCACUAUCUCAAACUAUGACUCUCCACACUUUGUGUGUCACUGCUAUGCACCACAGUAAUACGUAAAAUAUUGUUAAUAUACAGAAAAUCUUCACCUCCACGAAAAAGAUCAACAAAGUAACAAAUAAAAUUAUUAAUACCAUGGUAUUGAUCAAAUGGAUAAAUAAGAUAUAUGCUACUUUACAGUAAUAAUAUGAUCGCUACUGUGCCAUAUCCAGCUAAUAUAAACAGCAUGCCACCUUCCAUAAACUUGUAUUUCACCAACAGAAACUGUUAAAUCUUCCGUUAAUUACUCAGUACAUUAUGACGAUAACUCUUACGAUGAAAACUUUUGUAUAAGAUGGCCAUGGUCAAAACUCCGCGGAAAAUGUGGACAAAAAGCCAGUACCACAUCAAACUUGAAAUUAAACACUUAGGCCCUACAGUAGCAUAAGUCGUCUCAUCAGAAGAAAUGAUCCUAUCUUACAAGCCAACAACCCUGCUUGCUGCCUCGUAACAAGCGCACAGGGGAAAACGCUCGCUUUUCCAAACAGGCAGGAUGCAGCCCAUUUCCCCCAGCACAGGAAACCAGCAACGCCACUGCAGAAUGGCGCCCGAAAUAAUUCGACUACUCUUGUCAUGACCCUCCAAAACGAUUAAAAAAUCAUGAAGCACUAGGAAAAAAAUUUCGACUCUAGUAGAUUCACUGCAGCAACACGAAUCAUACGACUCUUCGUUAGCACACAACUACCGGCCAUAGAAGACCACUCUUAAACUCUCGCAGCAGACGUUCACAAACAUUAAGGUUUUGUUACGAUGUAUAAUGUGGGGAGAAAUGGGUUCGUAAGGGAUGGCCCAGUUAUGAUUUAUUACAGUUUUAUUGAUUACUAAUAUUUACAUUAAUAAUAAAUAAUUCUACUUAAAAAUAUCCUCAAAUCACUCAAUGUCUGUCAAGUUCCACAGUUCGCACUCCUCACUGGAGCUAGGCUCGGCAGUGGUUCGCCCCUUACCUCGCGCCUGUCCACACACACAGUCUCGCGCCACUCAGUCGCACUCUCACGAUUCAGUCGAACUCCCCGUCUUGCCACUCUCAGGGAGGGGGUCUCUCACCCUCUUCGUCAAUGUCACGCUUCUCUUCGCUCGGAAUCCGCUCGGAACUCACGCGGAGGCCGACGUCGCGGCUUAAGUAGUCGUGGGUCGUCUUUCCAAAACCGACGAGAACAGCUGUGACGAGUCGCGUCAUCCCGGGUCGACCCGACGCCCGAACAGUCCAGAAAAGCAGCGGCGGCCCGCGGAAUUCUCCAGGCCGCCCAGCGAUGGAUAACAGCGCCGAGGUAGGACGACGCGCGGGGCGCGGAGGGGGAAAGGUGGUAGCGACGGCCCUUGUAAUCCGGCCAGGCACGUGUGACAUGCCUUACGUCAGUGAACGUCACGUGACUCAGGGCGUGACGCCGGUGGCCUGGCAGGGCCGCCAGCCAGCUCCGAACCUGGCGAGUGUCGCGGUCCUGUCCGCGUUCGUAACAGUAUUUUUUUUGUGUCAGUUGCAUAAUUAAUUCUACAGCACAGUAGAAUCCCUGAAGAAAUCAAACGGGUGAAUCCCACUUCCCAUCUCAAGGCUUGGAUUGCAACAACAAACCCGCUCGCUACGCUCUCCUAUUUUCCUCUCAAAAAACAUGUUGCCAACUCCUCGCACGCACGCGGGGAAACUAAACCGCCAACCUCCGCCGCGCGCACAAAACAAAAAAAUUCCCAAACAACUACCGCCGCCCGCGCGCAAUCGCAGCGCAAGCACUGACACAGUGAAGUGCUGCUCUCAGGCGGCAGCGGCAGAAACAAGCACACCAACGUCAGCGCGUAGCACUGGCUCACUCGCCCCGGCAAUGUGGCGGCGCUAGCAACGCUAUAAUAUUAAAAAAAAACUCCCCCUUGAAUCGAAAAGCUCUCGUGCUUGCAAAAUUGUAACUCUGAAAUGGGAAUGAUAAACACUAUCCUGUGUAUUUUUCUCUCUCCUCUUCGCCCCCCCCCCCCCUCCUUCCCCCAACUCAAAGCCCGCAGGAAUCCUACAGAUUUACACCCAUGUUAGUAAAUAUUGUAUGGUAGAAUUAUUUUUUAUAUUUACCUUUUAUUUCACACUUUUUGUAGUCUGGCAGGUAGCUCCUCCCCCCUCCCCCUUUUCAUAUCCGUCCCUGUAAGGUGGCAUGUACAAUGUGGAAUAGCCACUGCAGUCUCCUCACUUGACCUCACAUAAAUAUUUUCAUUGUAGUCUUCAUUUGAGUAGUGGUGGUGGUGGUGGUGAAUUGCUCACACCGUACUCCUCGCAUAUUUCUGGGUUCAAACACAGUCAAGACUUUUGGUUUAUGAGAUGGCCCUAAAUAUCCAACAGCUCGACAUUUGGAAAUUCAUGCUUUGCCCAUUCCCUCCCCUUUCCUUCCCACUCAUAGCUAUUGUAGCAGUGUUUUAAGUUGAUCAUUCUCAAAGCCCUCUGGGCCUCCAAUGUUCACGUGAAAAUUUUGAUUUGUCUAUGUACAACUUUCCUGUGUGUGGUUUGACAUCAUUGCUUUUCAACACAUGUGGACAGCAUAUAGCAGAGUGCAAACAACAUUUUGAUAAUACCUUGCAAAUGUAAGUUGUUAAGGUACCUUAAAUGAAAUAUGAUCAGGAAAGGCAUGGUAAUCAGUCUCAUAUCUAGUUCUCCCACCUAGCAUAGCUCCAACACUUUAGUUUCAAAUAAUUUCCCUGUAAUUUUUUUUGACAAAAUUGUUUUCAACCAAUUAUAGCACGUAGCAUUACCUGACUGAACUGCUGAAGCUUUUGGGCUAAACAGUGAGAGAUCAGGUUAUGAAGUAUUAUGUAUUUAGUUGUAAGAAAGUUAUUAUUAUUUUUUUAUUGUGUAGCAGUUAGAUAUCAAGGUAAUGCACUAAACAAAAUGCAUACAACUGAAUGUUAUAUUGGUUAGCUUGUAGUUUUUACUAAUUGACUGUUUUUAUUUUAUGUCCAUGGUAUAGACAGCACCUGCUUUUAGAAAUGGUAUUUAUUGCAUUCAGUUUCAGGUAAAAUCUUACAACUGUGAUGUAUGCGAUCAAAACAUGAAAGAAUUUUUUUUGUUUAUAACAGAUCAAGAUGAUUUUCACAUUAUAUAUUCUUGUUAUGAACUGUGGAUUAACUUAUUUUCACACUCAAUACAGUUUAAUCCGCUAUUUUUUAUUUAUUUGUAUAUUGUGUUCAUAAAAUGAAGUUAGCAAAUGAAUGUAUAGUGCUUAAGAUUGAGUGAAUGUUUUAUAUUUAAUAAUUAUACUUGUUAAAUGUAUUAACAUUCAAAGUAUGCUAAUGUUAAAAUGGUGUAUCAUGAUGUAACUAGAGGAUCUUAAUAUAAUAUUGAGCUGUCAAGAAUGUGAUAACUCGAAAAAGCUAGUCACAAGUGCAAAGCUAUGCCGCAUCAAGGCUUAUAUUAUUUCUCAUUAAGUAAAAAGGUAACAAUUUUGUUUAAGUAGUUGUAGGUUAUUUGCUCAUUAACUACUUAUAUUUAAAUAACGUGAUAUUGUUUGACUCUCUAUAGUAGUUAAGAUGUUGAUUACUGUCAAUAAAAUUGUACUUGUCUAUAUGUUAAAUUUUAAUUCAUCUCAGUACAUGUGGUAUUAUAGAAAGUUAUUGUAACACAAGUACUUAUAUGUACUUUUUCCUGGCAUUUGUGAAAAUUUGGUUUAAAUUUACACUAAGCAAUUUAGUUAUUUAUUCAAAAUUAACAUUUUAUAGCUUGGAUGUUAGGUUUAGUUAGUAUUCUUUUUCUCACAAGAAUAACUUAUUUUAUAGAAUAUAUUUUACUUUUCAUAAAUCAUCAAACUGUGAACUAAAACAAAAAAAAAGUAAUUUCUUUUCUGGUAAGCAUUACCAAAAAUAUAGAAACUUCUUUGUUUUACCGGUACGAAUAUUUCACCAUCUCGUAAUUCUUCAAAAUUUAAUGUUCUUAUAAAUAAGGUAGAUGUUGUAGCAGUAAAAAUUAUAAUUUUUUGAUCUUAGAAUGUAUUAAAACAAUUAACUUUCUGGGAACAUUGAUAUUGUGACAAGUGCCACUGAUCACAAGUUAAGUUAAGUUUUAUAAUAAUUAAUUUUAUGUUUUUGUCACGAUUUCAUUUAAUGGGAUUAUUAGGGUUGGAAACUUGAUCUCCGUACUAACGAGAACAUUCUAUUGACUCGGAGAUUUUUAUGUAUAUUUUUUGGUAAAGUUUAAGUUAUUGUUUUAUGGUUCUAUUUUUAAAUAUUAUCUUGUAUUUAAUUUUCCAUGGGCAGCAUAUAUAUACAUACUUGGGCAUUCUUAAAGAAGUGUGAGAAAGUGAAAGACUGGAACUAUUUUCAUUGACGCGCUGUUGAAAAGACUGACAGUGACAGUGCCCACGUACCAGGAGCAGUCUUGUUUAUGUGCGGAGGCGCAAACAUUGUAAAAUAAAUUCAUUUAAAAGUAUUUUCAACUCAACUCCGCAAAUAUCUGGACUGCUACCCAUAUUUUCAGGAUCGUGAGCCUUAAACAACAGCAGCAGAAAAUUUAAGAAGGACCUAGCAAUAGUAAUACCUGAAAUAACACAAACUAAAAAAGUUAAAGUAUAACAUAUUGGUGCUUUUACGUUUUGUUAGCUUCGGCAUUAAAAAGAAAAUACCGUCCUCAACUUGCAUGCAUUUAUAUUUACAAAAUUUGAAAUCACAAAAAAUAUAUAUAAAUUAGAACCUUUUUUACAUUUAGAAAAAAUUAUCUGGCCAGAUUUUUCAUAUUAUGUAAAUUACUUAUACACACAACUACAAAGUAAAAUAUGUAUGCACAAAUUCAGUUAAAUAUGAUGUCCUUUUCCUAAUAUUCCGUUAAAACGUUCCAAUUUAAAGUCAGUCUCGUUGGGGCAGCCUACACGCAAAUAAAUUUAAACGGAACUUCAAAAAAUUGUAACUUGCAUAUAAAUAACCAAAGUUUGUUUCUCGUAAGUUUUCCGGCGCGGACUUCGCGUUUCUUAAGGUGCUGACGGACCGGUCAUCGUUUACUCACGUGCACCACGCAAUGUUAUUUCUUGAAAUCACCGUCACUAAAGUUCUACCAGCUGGUUACUUACACUGCAAGUCGCUGGCCGACGCCGGUAGCCUACAACUCACAUAGUUUCGGUUCCCUACCACGAUCGUGCAACUUCGGAUUUCUCUCAAAAAUUGAAAUUAAAAAAAUCGAAGGGUUAGGUUAGGUUAGGUUAGGUCAGGUCAGGUCAGUCACAACAUGCUUGUUUUCAUUGGAAACUUCUGAUUUAGCGGCUGAAGUGGCGUUAAUACCAAAACGCAAAACUUCGGAAAUCUUCGGAAAUUCUUGCAGGGAACCGAAACUACGUGAGUUGUAGGGCGUAAAAUUGCAACACGGAAUUAUACCAAUGCAGGCUGCAAGCACCCAGUUGCCUGGCUGCUACACAGACUUUCCUCAUAGCAGCAGAAACACCUGGCUUGCAGUGUAACGAGAACAUUGGUGCUACAGUUAACGAAUUGCAGCCCGCUGACAAAGUCGGUGAAAAUUUGCACAACAUUUGAAAUUACCGCGCGGUGCAUUUCGCGGAAAUAUAAUUUACGUCUUUAAAAGUUUCACGUCGACACUUUUAAAUAAGCACCAUCCUUUCGUUAAAAACCCGGUUAAACGUACAGCAACACCCGGAGUUAUACACAUCAUGACAUUAGUAUUUUGCAUGACGUUUUCUGCGCUAGCUCUCGCUUCGCGACCGCCCGAGCCAAGAGUGACUGGGCAGCCUUCUUUUCACAGACGAGAGAGCCAAACCUCCGAUCGUGCAUCUUCGGUUUUUUUUUUUGUUCAUUGUAAAUAAAUAUGGCGGUGUUGAUAAAAGGAUACUAAUGGUCUAUUAGGUUAGGUUAGCUACAUUAUAAAUACUUUAAAACAUUGUGGACGGUUGAUUUGGUUAGGAUAGCUACAUUAAAGAUACGGAAAAAAAAAACAUGAACUUCGGGUUUUGGCUCUCUCGUCUGUGAAAAUAAGGCUGCCCAUAGUGACUUCUCUCCGCCUGUCUGCGGCUUGCCCGCCGUAGCACGCCGCUGUCGUGCGCCAAAGAAAAUAGUCCCAGUCUUUCACUUUCUCGCAUUUAUUUGUGCAUGCCCAAGUAUGUUUAAGUAUAUAUAUGCUGCCCAUGGAAAAUUAAAUAUAAAAUAAUACUUAAAACUGGUACCAUUAAAAAUAACUUAAACUUUACUAAAAAAUAUACAUUAAAAUCUCCGAGUCUGUAGAAUGUUCUCAUUAAUACGGCAAUCAAGAUGCCAACCGGAUAAACUCAUUAAAUUAAAUCGUGACAUAUAUAAAAUAAAUUAAUAUAAAACUUAACUUAAAAAUUAGCUUGAACUGUUGUUUUAUUCGUGUGAUCAGUGACAUUGGUCACAAUAUUUAUAUCAUGCAAGCGUGGCUCUAAAUCUAGUACAUUUUUAGGCACACACCAUGUAUGAAAGAAUAAUUCUGCAGUACCUAUCUUGCCAACAUAAUAUCAAAAUAAAACUUUUAUUUGUAUGAUAGAUGAAAUGUAUGUUAAGUUUUGACUUGGGCAAUUAUUCGAAAUGUGAAUAUCUUACUUUCGAAGUUACCGGUACUCUACCAAAUAUAGUUUUGUAGAUUUUCCUGGCAAUGUGGUUCACAUUCACCACUUAAACCUUCCGUUGACUCAUUUAUACACAUAUCUAUGUUAUACUAGUUCUGUGAGUAGAUAAAGCAGAAUUUUGGCAUUCACUCAUGCUUAUAUGAGGGUUGGUAAAUUCCAUCGGGGAAUGAGAACUGGUGUGGAGUAACUCAGGACAGCUGAACUUACAGGUCUCAGAAAGCCUGAGAUACAGGUUUUUAAUUCGGGACCCUGUUUGUUUUUCCCAUUUUUGGUUUCACAGCAGAGUUUUCACUUAAUAUUUGUUUUGUCAUAACUGUGUAUAAUUAUGUUUACUUUUUUUAAUAAAUAAUUUGAGGUAAAACUUAUUCAUUACUUGCAUUAGGGUAUUUUUCCUGACAUUUAAAUCCCAAAAGCUUGAGUAAAAUUAGCAUAUGGGUUAUGAAAUUAAUUCAAAUAAUGUAACACAAAAAUAAGCAGUUGUGAUUAAAUAAUAUGCCUCAAAAUAUAUCUAAAUACAUACCAUAUGACUAACUUUACUACCUUAAUAAUUGUUAUGUCAUUUUGUUUUAAAUGUUGAUACAUAUAUAAUUUUAAAAUGUUUGCACUAAUUGUGUUUUGCAAUGCAUUUUUUUUAACUUCCUAAUACAGAAAUUGUAAUGUAAAUUACGUUUAGGGAGGGACAUGGUGAAAAUGGCAAACAGUGCAUAUAUAAGUAUAAUAUUGCUAGUCAGAUUCAAUUGGUUGAAAUUUUUUUUUAUGUAGAGCAUAUGACUUGUGUGUUGUUUGCAGAAAAUAAAAUAUUUUAAACAUUA